rnacentral:rRNA from 1 species
UUAGAGGAAGUAAAAGUCGUAACAAGGUUUCCGUAGGUGAACCUGCGGAAGGAUCAUUAACGAUUGCUAAAUGCAAAAAAAAGCUCACUGGAUUAACGCUAAAACUCCUGACGAGUUCAGGAAGGAUGCUUUCACGGCCAUCGUGGUUGUUGCGCUCUGCGCUGCGAACGAUGUAAAACAAACAACCGAUGGCCUCUCAUACAGUAUAAUAUCUCUCGCCAUGGCAUACAGGCCUGGCAUCUGGUACGAGUCUCUCGCAGUCUCAAAACCAACCUUACAACUCUGAGCGGUGGAUCACUUGGCUUGUGGAUGCUAUGAAGACCAUAGCUAAGUGUGAGAAUGGCAGCGAGCCGUCGCUAUAUGCGCUGUCCUCUUCUUAUCACAUGUCGAAUGCACAUUGCGCCCCACCCAGCGGUCAACAACCUGCAGACAAAAGCCUGGUUGGAACAAAGGAUGUGUGGCCCUCGAGCAACGGCGGGGGAGCCAGGAGCACAUGAGCGUGCGGACCAACUACUCGUGAGUAGUCAGGCUUGACCCUAUGGUGGGGCACUCCUAGUCGAGUGUGGUGGAUCGGACUCACAUCUUGUUGCGCCGCGCGAUGGAGUUUGAGUUUGUUGCUGGUGGAUUUGGGUCGACAUCAGUCGUGCCCAACUGCCUUGGCUCGUGCCUCUGUGCGUAUACCUCUUACAUUGAAGGCCAUAGCUGGCGAUCACUCUUGCGGCCAGGGCACUACUUCGGUAGUGCGCACAGGUCCAAGAACUGAUAAUACGAGAAUCGGGUCUCCAUACUAUCCCGGCGACACAAUCUGUGGGCGGUGAAACUGCAUAACCGUUACUGGCAAGGGGUAGUAUUCGGGAAGAUCUUUUCCACUUUUAGACGCACGACGAACGCACGAGAUCAGGUAAGACAGUGCGGCAAAAGUAACAGAGUGGCAGCCUCGCAUCGCUCCGCUUGUUGUACUAGAGAUACGGGCGAAGGAAAGAGACCUGGUUUCUUGUGCCACCACCUCGACUUAGGAGAGGUUACCCGCUGAACUUAAGCAUAUCAGUAAGCGGAGGAAAAGAAACCAAUCAGGGAUUCCCUUAGUAGGGGCGACCGAACAGGGAUGAGCCCAGCGCAGAACCUCCCGGGCCACCCGGCCUGCGGCGGAAUGUUGCGUUAAGGGAAAGGUCGUAGUCAAACCCCACAGCCACGCGAGCUCUAAGUAAGUCACGAAUUGGCUAUCCCAACUAACGGCGGGAAAAUCUCCACGGAGGGUGUAAGACCCGUGUGGGCGCGUGUAAAUGCUGUGUGGGCUCGGCCUCUUUUCCCUGAGAGUCGCGUUGCUUGAGCAUGCAGCGCUAAGCAGGUCGUAAACUCGAUCUAAGGCUAAAUAUGUCCACAAGACCGAUAGCGAACAAGUACCGUGAGGGAAAGUGAAAAGCACUCUGAAGAGAGA